rnacentral:lncRNA from 1 species
UAAAAACCCUUUAAACUCACUUUUCGUCCUUCCCAGCCGCCUCCCCAUGCGUUCCCUUCCCAACCGCCUUCCCUUUUCCUCCCUUUUCCCAUUUCCUUCUUCAACAUCACUUUCUCUAUUCACAUGUACAGAGCAAACCAAUGGAAUCACCGGCUAGAUAGUCUGGCAUCUUCUGUCUUUCCAAGUAUGUUUAUGUAUUUAUAUUUAGAAUUUUUCAAUUCCAUACACCUACUUGAUUUGAAUUUUUGGAUUUAUAUUCUAACAAUUUGAUAUAUAUAUAUAUAUAUAUAAUGCAGUAUUAUGAUAGGUAUUGAGUGGAACCUUAAAGAUUAUAAUGCAAUGUUGGGAAGAGCCACUCGAAAAGACAUUACAAAUAAAAAUUAGAUGAAAAUCUUUUCAAAAGUUUUUAGAAAAGUAUACAGGUUUAUUUUCUUAUCUUGUUGCAUUGAAUUUUUCCCUUUUGUUAUACGUUAUCAUUGAAAAGUAUACAGCUAAUUUUUGUUUCUUUUGAAUUUAUAUGGUACAUUUUAAUCUAUUGAAUGCAAGAAGAUCAAGGAUUAGUCUUGAUACAAAGAGUGAAAUUACUUCAUCCGUGAUGGCAGAAGAUCAUUUGGUGACAACAUCUUCAAUCCCAGAUUAAAUACUUAUAACUUAGUUCUGUUUUGAUGUGGAACCCUUCAGAAUUUUAUAUAAUAUAGUUUACUUUUGAUAGAUA